GCUCAUCAGUCUCAGCCUGAUCAGUCCAUCGGUCAAAAUGUCCACGAGGAUCCUGUCCAUCACUCUCCUGGCUCUUAGUGUGUUCUCUGUCCUUGCAGUAGGUAGCAGACGCUUCCCCACCAGGUGGGUUGGACCGUGCUGCGUUAAACUCAGCACUGGUAUUAUCAGCGAUGAUGUGACUGGGGACACAUAUCAUGAAUCACCUCACAAGCGUCCCUGUGUCGAUGCUAUAAUUUUUACCACCCGACGUGGAGAUGCCUGCGUUGAUCCCAAUUUGGAAUGGGUGAAGGAACUCACCGCCAACAUGACGAAGGUGUGAAACAUCGCCGUCUCUCUGAGCAAACUGCUGCUGCUGUUUGAAAACCUCCGACAUACACACACACACACGUUACAUGUACACACAUAUAUUCUGCUGAAAUAAUCCCUCUGAGUGCACAUACAUCAACGCUUGCUACUGAGCCCAAACAUAUAUAUAUAUAUACACUGCAUGCUUAAAGUGUAAUAUCAAGCAAUAAAUAUAUUUUGUACUUCAAA